rnacentral:tRNA from 1 species
GAUAAGGUGGCAGAUUGUAUAUGCAAUGGAUUGUAAAUCUAGUUAUAGGGGUUUGAUUCCUCUCUUUAUUA